CCCGGUGAACCCCACUUCCCACCCUCGAUCCCCACUCCCACAUCCCACGGCCGCCACGGCCCUCGCCGCCGGCGCGUGUCCCACCACCACCAUCUCCCACGGGCGCCAAGUUCCCUGCUGCAGGCGCGCGCGCCACCGCCACACCCCCUCCCACAGGAGCAAUGGUUCCUGCCGCCGGCGCACGCGCCACCGCCACCACCUCCCGCAGGCGCCAUGGUCCCUGCCGCCGGCGCGGCGCCACCGUCACCACCUCCCACAGCCGUCGCGGCCCCCGCCGCCGGUGCGCGCCCCGCCAUCUCCACCUCCCACAGCCUCCAUGGCCCCGUCGUCGGGGCGCGCCCCGCCACAACCACCGCCGUUGGACGCCGUCGCCGUGCCCCAGUGCCUCCGAGACCUCGUCCGACAUGACCGUUGCAUCCCUGAACUGCCAAGCGCCGCCCACCGCCCGGCUUCUUCCCCUGACCAUCGCCGGCCUCCUGCCCCGGGCAAACCCCUUCUCUUCCUUCCGGGCGCAACCGCGAUCUCCUUCUCAGUUCAAAACGAGCUCUAGCCGAUGUCCAAGUCGAUUCCCAUUCGUGGGACAAGUCCGACUACCUGUGGUACACGACCUAGAGAUUGACCGGAGCGAGCAAUUCCUCAAGUCCGGCCAGUGGCUGCAGCUCACCAUCAACUCCGCCGGCCACUCGCUGUAGGUGUUCGUCAACGGCCAAUCCUUCGGUGCGGAACCUCCCUAGCGCAACGACAGCCUCCUCCGUCCAAGUUGAACUCUGGGCGCCGUCCGAGUAGAGCACUGCGCCUCGUCCAAGUUCCCAUCUAAUGUGAACAUUCAAUUUUGUCAUGCUGAAUAAUAUACCGCUGAGUGCUGUCAACAGGCAGUUACUUCUUCCUUUGAUGCUGCACAUGUGAACUGAAAACUGUAGAAAUGAGAGUUUAGUAUGUUUUGGAGAACUUCAUUUCCCAAGUGGAAACUUUGAUCUGUACCAGUAAGUACAUGAUUAAUAUUUUAGGAUAUGUGUGGUUCCAGUAAGUACAUGAGUACUAUUUAGCAUGUUUGAUUGCUUCUGAAUAAUGAAAAUGUGCGUGUACUGAUGCAUUUCAAAAA